rnacentral:rRNA from 1 species
GUGCCAGCCGCCGCGGUAAUACGGAGGGUGCAAGCGUUAUCCGGAUUCACUGGGUUUAAAGGGUGCGUAGGUGGGCAGUUAAGUCAGUGGUGAAAUCUCCGGGCUCAACCCGGAAACUGCCAUUGAUACUAUCUGUCUUGAAUAUCGUGGAGGUAAGCGGAAUAUGUCAUGUAGCGGUGAAAUGCUUAGAUAUGACAUAGAACACCAAUUGCGAAGGCAGCUUACUACCCGAAUAUUGACACUGAGGCACGAAAGCGUGGGGAUCAAACAGGAUUAGAAACCCUGGUAGUCC